rnacentral:rRNA from 1 species
CCUACGGGAUGCAGCAGUGAGGAAUAUUGGUCAAUGGACGAGAGUCUGAACCAGCCACGUAGCGUGAAGGAUGACUGCCCUAUGGGUUGUAAACUUCUUUUAUAUGGGAAUAAAAUGUUCCACGUGUGGGAUUUUGUAUGUACCAUAUGACUAAGGAUCGGCUAACUCCGUGCCAGCAGCCGCGUUAAUACGGCGGAUCCGAGCGUUAUCCGGAUUUAUUGGGUUUAAAGUGAGCGUAGGGGGAUUGUUAAGUCAGUUGUGAAAGUUUGCGGCUCAACCGUAAAAUUGCAGUUGAAAAUGGCAGUUGAGAGGACAGUAGAGGUAGGCGGAAUUCGAGGUGUAGCGGUGAAAUGCGUAGAUAUCACGAAGAACUCUGAUGGCGAAGGCAGCUCACUGGACUGCAACUGACACUGAGGCUCGAAAGUGUGGGUAGCAAAAAGGAUUAGUUACCCGUGUAGUC